ensembl:lncRNA
AUGCUUUUAGGAAUUGCUUUGUUGAAGUUCCCAGAAGGAGCCUUGGGGCAUGAAAAAGAUCACCCCAAACAUAAAACAGGAGAAAAGAACUCUGCACUUGACAUUAGACAUUAUUCAGAGUGGGUCACAGGGGCAAGUUUUGGAUCCAACUCAUCAGGACAUGUCUCUGUCAUUUUAGAUGCUGAACUUCAAUCAAGCACAAGGUGGAUGAGGCCCAUGCAUCCUGUGUCCUAGAAGACGCUGAUAGAACACCUGGAUCCUCAUGGAGUUGUAAUCUUUCAUUCACUACAAACAUCUAACAACGUGGCUUGCCUAUGAGAUUUAUAAAGCAGAAGUUCGGAUACCAGCUGUGGUGAUUAGUUCUGUGUGUCAACUUGGCAAAAGAUCAUAGGCUGUAAUCUAAGCAGUAAUAUAAGAAUUGCUGUGGAGUAUUUGGUAUUGUGAUCCAUAUCUAGAAUCAGUUUCACUAAGUAAAUAAAAUGGUCCUUGAUAAUGUGAACCA